UAUUUUCCUGUGAAGAGAAUAGUAACUUAAGUUAGGUUUUAGAGAGUCAGUGUAUGGUGUAAACUGAUACUUAUACUUUAGUGAAUCCAUCUUGGAGGUUUAUUACGAUGAGUAAUACGGUAUUAGCCGUUAAUUAUACGAGAGGAUUAUAUUAAAGUCAAUAAUGUAAUCAAGAAGGGUGGCAACGCGAGUCAAUCGUCCCUAAG
rnacentral:ncRNA from 1 species